rnacentral:rRNA from 1 species
AUUGAACGCUGGCGGCAGGCCUAACACAUGCAAGUCGAGCGGAUGAAGGGAGCUUGCUCCUGGAUUCAGCGGCGGACGGGUGAGUAAUGCCUAGGAAUCUGCCUGGUAGUGGGGGAUAACGUCCGGAAACGGGCGCUAAUACCGCAUACGUCCUGAGGGUGAAAGUGGGGGAUCUUCGGACCUCACGCUCUCAGAUGAGCCUAGGUCGGAUUAGCUAGUUGGUGGGGUAAAGGCCUACCAAGGCGACGAUCCGUAACUGGUCUGAGAGGAGGAUCAGUCACACUGGAACUGAGACACGGUCCAGACUCCUACGGGAGGCAGCAGUGGGGAAUAUUGGACAAUGGGCGAAAGCCUGAUCCAGCCAUGCCGCGUGUGUGAAGAAGGUCUUCGGAUUGUAAAGCACUUUAAGUUGGGAGGAAGGGCAGUAAGUUAAUACCUUGCUGUUUUGACGUUACCAACAGAAUAAGCACCGGCUAACUUCGUG